UACGGGGGGGGCAAGCGUUGUUCGGAAUUACUGGGCGUAAAGGGCUCGUAGGCGGCCAACUAAGUCAGACGUGAAAUCCCUCGGCUUAACCGGGGAACUGCGUCUGAUACUGGUUGGCUUGAAUCCGGGAGAGGGAUGUGGAAUUCCAGGUGUAGCGGUGAAAUGCGCAGAUAUCAGGAGGAACACCAAUAGCGAAGGCAGCUCGCUGGGACGGUACUGACGCUAAGGCGCGAAAGCGUGGGGAGCGAACAGG
rnacentral:rRNA from 1 species